rnacentral:rRNA from 1 species
GACGAACGCUGGCGGCGUGCCUAAUACAUGCAAGUCGAACGCUUCUUUCCUCCCGAGUGCUUGCACUCAAUUGGAAAGAGGAGUGGCGGACGGGUGAGUAACACGUGGGUAACCUACCCAUCAGAGGGGGAUAACACUUGGAAACAGGUGCUAAUACCGCAUAACAGUUUAUGCCGCAUGGCAUAAGAGUGAAAGGCGCUUUCGGGUGUCGCUGAUGGAUGGACCCGCGGUGCAUUAGCUAGUUGGUGAGGUAACGGCUCACCAAGGCCACGAUGCAUAGCCGACCUGAGAGGGUGAUCGGCCACACUGGGACUGAGACACGGCCCAGACUCCUACGGGAGGCAGCAGUAGGGAAUCUUCGGCAAUGGACGAAAGUCUGACCGAGCAACGCCGCGUGAGUGAAGAAGGUGUUCGGAUCGUAAAACUCUGUUGUUAGAGAAGAACAAGGACGUUAGUAACUGAACGUCCCCUGUCGGUAUCUAACCAGAAAGCCACGGCUAACUACGUG